GGGCGAAUAGCUCAGCUGGCAGAGCAUCUGGAUCACAACCAGAGGGUCGGGGGUUCAAGUCCCUCUUCGCCCACCA
rnacentral:tRNA from 1 species